rnacentral:rRNA from 1 species
AUUGAACGCUGGCGGCAGGCCUAACACAUGCAAGUCGAGCGAGCGGCGGACGGGUGAGUAAUGUAUGGGGACUGCCUGAUAGAGGGGGAUAACUACUGGAAACGGUAGCUAAUACCGCAUACUAUCGGAUAACCCAUAUGGGAUUAGCUAGUAGGUGGGGUAAUGGCUCACCUAGGCGACGAUCCCUAGCUGGUCUGAGAGGAUGACCAGCCACACUGGAACUGAGACACGGCCCAGACGCCUACGGAGGCAGCAGUGGGGAAUAUUGCACAAUGGGCGCAAGCCUGAUGCAGCCAUGCCGCGUGUGUGAAGAAGGCCCUCGGGUUGUAAAGCACUUUCAGUCGGGAGGCGUUACCGGCAGAAUAAGCACCGGCUAACUACGUGCCAGCAGCCGCGGUAAUUC